UUCUUUUUCUCACCACUCAAUUAUGGUCUCUGGGCAUCUGGGUCACCACCAAUAAUGAUUCCUUCAAGCAUUCUGCAGUCUGGUAAUCCAAAUCCAGUCUUUUGCAGUUUGGUGGUAUCGCGGUAAACAAACCAAUCGUCUGAAUUCCUAUUGCAAAGCAACAGUCAGACAGAUAUGGCGGACGCACUCCUCUCGGCUUCGCUCAACGUUCUCUUCGAUAGGUUGGCUUCUCCAGAGCUCAUAAACUUCAUUCGGCGACGGAACCUUAGCGAUGAACUCCUCGACGAGUUGAAGAGGAAACUAGUGGUGGUUCUCAAUGUGCUCGAUGAUGCGGAGGUGAAGCAAUUUUCAAACCCAAAUGUCAAAAAUUGGCUGGUCCAUGUCAAGGAUGCUGUGUAUGAUGCGGAAGACCUGUUGGAUGAGAUCGCUACCGACGCUUUGCGGUGCAAGAUGGAAGCUGCUGACUCCCAAAUCGGUGGGACUCAUAAGGCGUGGAAAUGGAACAAGUUCGCUGCUUGUGUUAAGGCUCCAACUGCUAUCCAAAGCAUGGAGUCCAGGGUCAGGGGCAUGAUUGCUCUACUAGAAAAAAUUGCACUAGAAAAAGUUGGGUUCGUGCUGGCAGAAGGUGGGGGUGAGAAACUGUCACCAAGACCAAGAUCACCAAUAUCCACUUCGUUGGAGGAUGAGUCCUUUGUGCUCGGCAGGGAUGAAAUUCAGAAGGAGAUGGUGAAGUGGUUGCUUUCUGACAAUUCAACAGGCGAAAAAAUGGAGGUGAUGUCCAUAGUGGGCAUGGGCGGCAGCGGCAAGACCACGCUUGCUCGGCUUCUCUAUAACGAUGAGGGAGUGAAGGAACACUUCCACUUGAAAGCAUGGGUCUGUGUUUCCACUGAGUUUCUUCUUAUCAAGGUCACCAAAACAAUUCUUGAGGAAAUCGGUUCUAAAACUGAUUCUGACAACCUAAAUAAGCUUCAGCUUGAACUCAAAGACCAACUUAGUAACAAGAAAUUUCUGCUUGUUCUCGAUGACAUCUGGAAUUUGAAGCCUCGUGAUGAAGGUUAUAUGGAGUUUAGCGAUCUUGAAGGUUGGAAUAGUCUACGAACUCCACUCCUCGCUGCAGCACAGGGAAGCAAGAUUGUCGUGACCAGUCGUGAUCAAUCUGUUGCAACAACCAUGCGUGCAGGCCGCACUCAUCGUCUGGGAGAAUUAAGCCCUCAACAUUGUUGGAGGCUUUUUGAAAAGCUUGCAUUUCAAGACAGAGACUCCAACGCAUUCCUUGAGCUUGAACCCAUAGGUAGACAGAUUGUGGACAAGUGCCAAGGAUUGCCUUUGGCUGUAAAAGCACUCGGUCGUCUCUUGCGCUCUAAGGUCGAAAAAAGGGAAUGGGAGGAUGUCUUCGACAGUGAAAUAUGGCAUCUGCCAAGUGGUCCUGAAAUUCUUCCAUCUUUGAGAUUGAGCUAUCAUCAUCUUUCUCUACCUCUGAAGCAUUGUUUUGCAUAUUGUUCAAUUUUUCCCCGGAACCAUGAAUUCGAUAAAGAGAAGCUGAUUUUAUUAUGGAUGGCAGAAGGCCUUUUACAUCCACAGCAAGGCGACAAAAGAAGAAUGGAAGAGAUAGGUGAGUCAUAUUUUGAUGAGCUUUUGGCAAAGUCAUUUUUCCAAAAAUCUAUUAAAAAAAAAUCAUACUUUGUAAUGCAUGAUCUAAUACAUGCAUUGGCUCAACAUGUGUCUGAAGUUUUUUGUGCUCAAGAAGAAGAUGAUGAUAAGGUACCAAAAGUAUCUGAAAAGACUCGUCACUUUUUGUACUUUAAAAGUGAUUAUGACCGAAUGGUUACAUUUAAAAAGUUUGAGGCUAUUAUCAAAGCUAAAUCUCUUCGCACAUUCUUAGAGGUAAAGCCAUCACAAUACAAGCCUUGGUAUAUUUUGAGUAAAAGAGUUUUGCAAGAUAUAUUGCCAAAAAUGCGAUGUCUACGCGUGUUGUCAUUACGUGGAUAUAACAUAACUGAUUUACCUAAAUCGAUAGGUAAUUUAAAACAUUUGCGUUACUUGGAUCUAUCUUUCACAAUGAUCCAAAAAUUACCUGAAUCAGUAUGUUAUUUGUGCAAUUUACAAACGAUGAUACUAAGAAGAUGUUCAUGUCUUAAUGAAUUGCCUUCAAGGAUGGGGAAAUUGAUUAAUUUGCGUUAUCUUGAUAUUUUUAGAUGUGAUUCAUUGAUAGAUAUGUCAACUUAUGAUAUUGGUAGAUUAAAAAGUUUACAAAGAUUGACUUAUUUUAUUGUGGGCCAAAAGAAUGGAUUAAGAAUUGGAGAAUUGAGGGAGCUUUCAAAGAUUCGAGGAACACUUCAUAUUUCAAACGUAAAUAAUGUGGUGAGUGUUAACGAUGCAUUACAGGCUAAUAUGAAGGAUAAGAGUUAUCUUGAUGAGUUAACCUUGAAUUGGGAAUCUGGUUGGGUUACAAAUGGUAGUAUUACACAACAUGAUGCUACAACUGAUGAUAUACUCAACAGUUUACAACCUCAUCCAAAUUUAAAACAACUCUCCAUCACAAACUAUCCUGGUGCAAGAUUUCCAAAUUGGCUUGGAGAUUCUUCAGUACUCUUGAAUCUCUUGUCCCUUGAGCUUCGGGGUUGUGGCAAUUGCUCAACACUGCCACUACUUAGGCAGCUAACCCAUCUUAAAUAUCUACAGAUCUCAGGAAUGAAUGAAGUAGAGUGUGUGGGUAGUGAGUUUCAUGGGAAUGCUUCCUUUCAAUCCCUAGAAACACUAUCAUUUGAGGAUAUGAUGAAUUGGGAGAAAUGGUUAUGUUGUGGAGAAUUCCCUCGUCUCCAAAAGCUUUCUUUACAGGAGUGCCCCAAACUCACUGGGAAAUUACCAGAACAACUUCCUUCAUUGGAGGAACUUGUAAUUGUUGAAUGUCCGCAGCUGCUUAUGGCUUCACUCACUGUUCCUGCUAUUCGUGAAUUGAGGAUGGUGGAUUUUGGUAAAUUGCAGUUGCAAAUGCCAGCUUGUGACUUCACAGCUCUUCAAACUUCAGAAAUUGAAAUUUCAGACGUAUCUCAGUGGAGGCAACUUCCAGUGGCACCACACCAGCUCUCAAUUAUAAAAUGUGAUUCUAUGGAGUCUCUACUAGAGGAGGAAAUCUUGCAAAGCAACAUACAUUAUCUGAAAAUCUAUUAUUGUUGUUUCUCUAGAUCUCUGAACAAAGUUGGUUUACCAGCUACAUUGAAAUCACUAUCAAUCUCUAACUGUACCAAAGUGGACCUUCUUCUACCUGAGUUGUUCAGAUGCCAUCUCCCAGUCCUUGAGAGGCUAAGCAUCGAUGGUGGUGUUAUCGAUGAUUCUUUCUCAUUGUCCUUCUCAUUAGGCAUCUUCCCAAAGUUGACUGAUUUCACGAUCGACGAUCUUGAGGGGCUUGAGAAGCUCUCCAUUUCAAUUUCAGAGGGAGAUCCCACGUCUUUAUGUUCCUUGCAUCUAUGGAAUUGCCCUAAUCUUGAAACUAUCGAAUUGUUCGCUCUCAACUUGAAGUCUUGUUGGAUCUCUAGUUGCUCCAAGCUCAGGUCGUUGGCACACACGCACUCAUAUAUACAAGAGCUGGGUUUAUGGGAUUGUCCAGAAUUGCUGUUUCCGAGAGAGGGUUUGCCUUCCAACCUACGUCAACUUCAAUUUCAAAGCUGUAACAAACUCACGCCGCAGGUGGAGUGGGGUUUGCAAAGGCUGACCUCUCUUACAUUUUUAGGAAUGAAAGGUGGAUGUGAAGACAUGGAAUUAUUUCCCAAGGAGUGUCUGCUGCCCUCUUCUCUGACUAAUCUUUCAAUCUGGAAUCUUCCAAAUCUCAAGUCUUUUGACAGCAGGGGGCUUCAACGACUUACCUCUCUUUUAGAAUUAAAGAUCAUAAACUGCCCAGAGCUCCAGUUCUCGACAGGGUCGGUUCUUCAACACCUUAUCGCUCUCAAAGAAUUACGAAUUGAUAAAUGCCCAAGGCUCCAAUCCUUGACAGAAGUGGGCCUUCAACACCUUACCUCUCUUAAAAGAUUGCACAUCUCCGAGUGCCCUAAGCUCCAAUACUUAACAAAACAGAGACUGCAAGACUCCUCGAGUCUUCCACACCUCAUCUCUCUCAAACAAUUCCAAAUCGAGGAUUGCCCAAUGCUCCAAUCCUUGACAGAAGAGGGUCUUCAACACCUCACCUCUCUUAAAGCAUUAGAGAUCAGAAGCUGUCGCAAGCUCAAAUACUUGACAAAAGAGAGACUUCCAGACUCCCUCUCUUAUCUGCAUGUCAACGGGUGUCCUUUACUGGAACAACGGUGUCAAUUUGAGAAAGGGGAAGAAUGGCGUUAUAUAGCUCACAUUCCAGAAAUAGUGAUCAACCGUGUGCUAUUUUAAUGGACGUGGUACUCCACCAAUAUACAGCAGCUUGCACUGAUUGGGAGUCCAUGCCAAAAAAGGCUGGUCUAUUGUAUGCUAACCAAGUGGACAUCUUCAGAAGGUCUUGAGCCCAAACA